CUCCUACGGGUGGCAGCAGCCGAGAAUAUUGGACAAUGGGCGAAAGCCUGAUCCAGCGACAUUGCGUGGAGGACGAAGACGUUCGCGCCGUAAACUCCUUUUCUGGAGGAAGAAGUUAUUGACGGUACUCCAGGAAUAAGCGGGGGCUAAUUCUGUGCCAGCAGCAGCGGUAAUACAGAACCCGCGAGCGUUAUCCGGAUUUAUUGGGCGUAAAGUGUUCGUAGGCGGUUUGGAAAGUCUGAUAUUAAAUACCCGGGCUCAACCCGGGACGUGUAUUGGAUACUUCCAGACUAGAAGAUGUUAGGGGCUAUCGGAACGCACGGUGUAGGGGUGAAAUCCGUUGAUAUCGUGCGGAACACCAAAAGCGAAGGCAGAUAGCUGGGGCAUUCUUGACGCUGAGGAACGAAAGCGUGGGUAGCGAAAAGGAUUAGAUACCCUUGUAGUCCACGCCGUAAACGAUGCACACUAGACGUUGGGGCCUCUGACGGAACCGGCGUCGUAGCAAAAGUGCUAAGUGUGCCGCCUGGGGAGUACGGCCGCAAGGCUAAAACUCAAAGGAAUUGACGGGGGCUCACACAAGCGGUGGAG
rnacentral:rRNA from 1 species